rnacentral:lncRNA from 1 species
CAUUUUAGGCAUCUUCUAUUAUGAGAUCUCAAAUAACUUCCAGCCAUAAAAUUUACUUUGUUGUGGUAAAACACUUAGGAUUCCAACAGAAGCAAAUGCAAAGAGCAGUGGGAAAAGGACUUUUCACAAAGAUGUAUGUAAGGGCUCACUAAAGAUAAACUCAUAAUCUAAACUAUAAAAUACACCAAGAUCAAAAAUUCACAUAUAAUACAACAGGAUUCAGUCCUUCAGCACUUAAGAGAACAGGGUUUUUUUUUUUUUUUUUUUUUUGUCCUUGUUUUUCAAAUAGAUACACUUAAAAUAGUUAAAAAAUAUAUAAACUAGGAUUGGGAAAUAAAAGAAAGUGGCACUAUUUUUAAAAAUUAACUUGGGCAAAAAUGGGUUGGGUGAUAUUCAGAGUAUAUGGAUGAAUUUUAUUUACUUUUGGUAAAAUACAUGAAUUCUUAGAUUUAAGUACUGUGCUAGUCCUGAGAAAGACAAAUACAAAUAAUCACAUAUCAAGAGACACUGUAGUGAAAUUGCAGAGGAUCAAAAGCAGAUAGAAAAUCUUAAAAUCAACUAGGGAAGUAAAGAAGAAUGUCCAGAAAAGAACAAUUAUCCCAACUGCAAGUUUCUCAACCACAAUACUAGAAAGCAGAAGACAAUGCAGCGUCUUCCAAGUGCAGCAAGAAAGUAACUGCCAACCUGGCCUUCUGUCUUGAGAGCCUAAAAAUAUUUCCAAAGGAAAUUUGAAAUAAGCUUUCCAAAAGUUUUUUGCUAAAAGGACUAUACAAGCUUGUUUUUAACUCUGACUAACCAGUUAAAAACACCUGGGAGGAUUUUGAAAUUUUCAGUUAUCAAACCACAACUCAGGUUUAUUAAAUUAGGAUCUCUGGGAGUGGGGCUGAGUCACCAGUUUGUCUGUUUUUAAAGUUCUGUAGAUAAUUUCAAUAUGCAACUUGGUUGAGAACCAUCAGUUAACAAGAAUUAUAACAGGAAGGCAAUUAAAACCAACGGUAGAAGCAAGAAAUUGGCAAGUAAAUUGUUGAAUAUAUAAUAAUAAUACCAAUAACAAAAUAUAUGUUCUUUGUCUUCACAUAUGCAAGUGUGUGUGUGUAUAUAUAUAUAUAUAUAUAUAUUUAUUUAUUUAUUUAUUUAUGUAAAUACAAGAUAUAUUUAUGUCAGGAUGUAAAUAUUAAAUGAAAAUAAAGGCUGGCCAUGUCUUCCAACUGUAAUAUAAUAAUUCAAAGUCUAAAAAAAUUCAAAGUAUAAAUAUGUUUUAUAGACCACAUUUCCUAACUAUAAUAAUUCAAAUAUUAAGUCUAAAUAUGAGACUUAAAUGCACAUAUUUGAGAAUUUCAGAAGCAAAUAUCUGAAGUCAUAAAUCAAUAAAAUCAUAAAAAAAUAAAGUAAGUUAGAAUGAUAAUGGAAAUACUAUUUAUCAAAAAAUGUGGGAUACACUUAGGUAUUUAUUUAUUUAUUUAUGUUUACACUUAGAUAUUUAAAGAGAAUUUUAGAAUUUCAGAAGUUUUACUUGAGAAAAAGCAAAUAGAGAAAUAUUGAUAAUAUAUCUUUCCAGGGCACCUGGGUGGCUCAGUGGUUGAGCAUCUGUCUUUGGUUCACGUCAUGAUCCAGGGUUCCUGGGAUUGAGUCCCACAUCGGGCUCCCUGCAUGGAGCCUGGUUCUUCCUCUGUGUCUCCAUGAAUAAAUAAAUAAAAUCUUUAAAAAUUUUUGGAUUUCUCUUCUCUUUGGAAGAGAAACAAAGUAAACAUAACCAAUGAAAUUAGUAGGAAAUUAGCUAAGAUGAUCAUAAAAAGUGAAGAUAAAUAAUAGAGAGGGCAUCUAAAAUUAAGUGUAGGGUUUUUGUAAAAAUUAGGAAGAAUGCAGAAAAAAUGUCAAUAGGUUCCAACUGGACUGAAGACCAGGAAAUGUAUAAUACAAUGUAAAACUAUAUAAUGUUGGUGCUGAGAUCACUGGUUCUACAUAAUGAAAAAAAAAUUAGUUUCUCAAACCAUAUAAAAAAGAAAUUUUAGGUGUAAAAAUUUUAAAUCUUUAUUUGAAAAUACAGAAGGAAAAAACGUGAAGUUUGAGUACAUUAAGAAAAACAAUAGAAACAAAGAGACAAGCCAAUAUAAAGAAGAUAAAAGGAUAUAAAGAAAUCUCUAAAUCUGUAAGCCAAAGACAAGCAAAUUAUGGGAGAGUAAGCAAAGCCUAUUCAAUAGGAAUAUUGAGGUGAAAAUAUAAAUGGCUAAUAUAACAUUAAAAUAGGCUAAAUUUCACUAGGAAUUGGGAAAAUGAAAUUAAGCUAUAAGCAAAUAUGUUUCUCAGUCAUCAAUCUAUAAGAACUAAUUCUUGUCACAAUACUAAAUUUUGACAAGGAUCUUGAAUCAUGGAAUCUUCCAUAGGCUGCUGAUGGGAGUAUAAAUUUUCAAAUAAACUUGGAAAGAAUUUUAUCAAUAUGUAAUUCAGAAGGAUAUAGUAUGAUAUUUAAUUUGGUGAUUUUACAUUUACAUGUGAUUUAUAUCAUAUAUAUAUAUAUAUAAACUCCCAGAUACACACUCAGGAUAAAUGUAUGAUAAAGUUAAUUGUAGCACUGUGUUUUGUAGUGAAAAACUAGAACAAACUUAAUUAUGUAAUAAUAGGAGAAUGAAUAAAUUUAGAUACAUGCUAAUAAUAGAAUUAUAUAGUGAAAGUAAAGCCAUGUGUAUAAACAGGCAGGGAUCUCAAAGCAGUAACUGAGUAAAAGAAUAUGAAGACAGACAUGUAUACCAUGACAUUGUUAGAAAUUAUUUGGUAACACUGAAACUAUACAUUUAUGUGUGUCCAUUUUUAAUCAAACAUAUAUUUAACAGAAAUACGGAAUUGCAUAUCACAUCCAAACUUGAGAUGAUCAUUAUCUCUCAGAGGUUAGAAGGAAAAGGAAAUUGCAGGGAGGGGUUUGAAGGUAUUUUCAACUGUAUCCCUCAUCAUUUAUUACUUCUAAAAUUUUCAGAAAUUAUAAAAUGAUGGGAAAAUACUAAUUUUGAUGGAACUGGCUGGUAGCACAUGAAUAGCUCUUAUUUAUUUCCGUGCACUUUUAUAGCUUACGAUGCUUUCCAAUAUUAAAAAACAACAACAAUACUGCUAUUUAAAAAAAAAAAAAAAAAAAAAAACACCUAUCACUAAAACUAUGUGUAAGUUAAUUCUGGAGCGGCAUCAUCUAUAUAAAUAUGGUUGUUCCGAUUUACUUCACAAGCCGGCAGGUCAAAAUUCUUCUUCCUGAAACUGAAGUCAACUGAUUUAUUUGCAGAAGUCAGCGGUGCAUUGUGUAGUCGGCCACCUUUCGGCCCCCGUCUGCAGUGCGAACGCCCCAGGAGGCCAGCCAGGCACCGCUUCCCUCCACACUAGGUCUGCAGAGCCCGAAGCGUUCAUGGGUGAAAU